CUCGAAGAAUCACUUGUGGCUCGGCCAGCCUUGGUUCCAGAAGAUCAAUGGAGAGAUUUCGUUCAUGAUCAAUUCAGUGAUAAAGCAAAGAAAAUGAGAGAGCGUAAUAUUAAGAGUCGAAGCAAACUAAAGAUACCACAUGCCCUUGGAAAAAAGAGUUUGGCAAGAAAAGCUCAUGAAAUAGAAGAAGAGACUGGUAUUGAACCAAGUCGAGCAGAAAUAUUUAUUGCAUCACGUAUAAGAGUAGAUGGAAGUAUGAUUUGUGAGGAGCAACAAU